rnacentral:rRNA from 1 species
AAUGGGUCAGCGACUUAUAUUCUGUAGCAAGGUUAACCGAAUAGGGGAGCCGAAGGGAAACCGAGUCUUAACUGGGCGUUAAGUUGCAGGGUAUAGACCCGAAACCCGGUGAUCUAGCCAUGGGCAGGUUGAAGGUUGGGUAACACUAACUGGAGGACCGAACCGACUAAUGUUGAAAAAUUAGCGGAUGACUUGUGGCUGGGGGUGAAAGGCCAAUCAAACCGGGAGAUAGCUGGUUCUCCCCGAAAGCUAUUUAGGUAGCGCCUCGUGAAUUCAUCUCCGGGGGUAGAGCACUGUUUCGGCAAGGGGGUCAUCCCGACUUACCAACCCGAUGCAAACUGCGAAUACCGGAGAAUGUUAUCACGGGAGACACACGGCGGGUGCUAACGUCCGUCGUGAAGAGGGAAACAACCCAGACCGCCAGCUAAGGUCCCAAAGUCAUGGUUAAGUGGGAAACGAUGUGGGAAGGCCCAGACAGCCAGGAUGUUGGCUUAGAAGCAGCCAUCAUUUAAAGAAAGCGUAAUAGCUCACUGGUCGAGUCGGCCUGCGCGGAAGAUGUAACGGGGCUAAACCAUGCACCGAAGCUGCGGCAGCGACACUAUGUGUUGUUGGGUAGGGGAGCGUUCUGUAAGCCUGUGAAGGUGUACUGUGAGGUAUGCUGGAGGUAUCAGAAGUGCGAAUGCUGACAUAAGUAACGAUAAAGCGGGUGAAAAGCCCGCUCGCCGGAAGACCAAGGGUUCCUGUCCAACGUUAAUCGGGGCAGGGUGAGUCGACCCCUAAGGCGAGGCCGAAAGGCGUAGUCGAUGGGAAACAGGUUAAUAUUCCUGUACUUGGUGUUACUGCGAAGGGGGGACGGAGAAGGCUAUGUUGGCCGGGCGACGGUUGUCCCGGUUUAAGCGUGUAGGCUGGUUUUCCAGGCAAAUCCGGAAAAUCAAGGCUGAGGCGUGAUGACGAGGCACUACGGUGCUGAAGCAACAAAUGCCCUGCUUCCAGGAAAAGCCUCUAAGCAUCAGGUAACAUCAAAUCGUACCCCAAACCGACACAGGUGGUCAGGUAGAGAAUACCAAGGCGCUUGAGAGAACUCGGGUGAAGGAACUAGGCAAAAUGGUGCCGUAACUUCGGGAGAAGGCACGC